rnacentral:rRNA from 1 species
AUGCUUAGAUUGAAACAAAAAUUUUAAGAUUAAAGAAAACCCCCACACCACACAGUAUUUUCUAAAAACUUCUCUACCUAAAACCGCGAGGGCUCCCACUUUGCUAGACCAAGAAAAGCUAACCCCUUGUCCCUUUCGCAUCAUGGAAAAGCAACACAACCUUAAAACUUUAAACUCCCGAACAACUAUGAGCUACUAGACCUUAAAAGCCAAUGUUUCACAAUUGGUCAGACUAACCUCUAGUAGAAGUAACAAGCCUUUCAUAUAGUUAGAUAGCUGGCUUUUCCUAAAAAGCAUCAUAGUGCUACUUUAUAGAAUAACCCCUUACCAAACUCUAUAAGUGCCAAUCUCCUGAGGACCAGCUCCGGAGAAUUUACAAAAUACAAGAACUCUUCUCUCGAAACGUAGGCUUAAAAUCAGCCACCUAACAACGUUCUAGUUAAUCUACACCAAACAUAACAACAUAAAGUUUGCAUUUUACCCUAAGGAAAUUUAAUGUAAAACCCCACACAUUAAUAAACAGGCAUUUUAUUAGUAUUACAAACAACUGCUUUCAAAAAACUAAAAAAAACUAAAAAAAACAGAACCACAAAAACAUCAAACUCACCUGUAUAAAGCGAACUCGGCAAAUAAGUUCUCUGCCUGUUUACCAAAAACAUCGUCUUUUGACCCAGACACAUAAAAGAUAAUGCCUGCCCAGUGAAAACUUUAAACGGCCGCGUUAGCGUGAGCGUGCUAAGGUAGCGUAAUAAAUAGCCUCUCAAUUGGAGGCCAGUGAAUGGCAAGACUAGGAACACCUGUACCUUAUACACCAAAAAAAUUUUUCGUCUAAGUGAAAAGACUUAGAUAAUAAAGGAAGACGAAAAGACCCCGCGGAACUUUACCUUCUCCCGCUCUUCUGCCCAGAAGCACAAAAGACCAAAGGUUUGAUUGGGGCAAUCUCGGAACCACCAAGCUUCCGAUUUUUAACAAAAACGAUUCAAAAUUUGAUAAAGACCAAAAAGAAGUUACCCCGGGGAUAACAGCGUAAUCCAACUUAAGAGUACACAUCGAAAGUUGGGUUUGCGACCUCGAUGUUGGCUUAAGGUUAUCCACACUAGUGCAACCGCUAUGACAGGACAGUCUGUUCGACUAUCAUACCCUUACACGAGCUGAGUUAAGACCGGCGCAAGCUAGGUUGGUUUCUAUCUCCUUUAUAAACACCCUUCUUGAUUGUACGAAAGGACCCCAAGAGAUGCACACAACAGAAGCAUUUUAUAAAGCACAAAUUCACAGCAAUAACCCUAAAAGUUUAGCGAGUUAGUAUAAAAAUACCAUUGACUUAGGAUCAAUAAAUAAGUAAUCACUUACCCGCUAUUAAAUCUUUACACUAAGGGAAGAAGCUGUGCCUUAGCAGUUAGCUGUUACCUAACUUGUAGUGAAAACUCACCUACCCUACCCAGAAAAUAGUUUAUACAAAACAAAAACUUUGGGAGUUUUAGAUUUA